UUGGUUGGUUAUCCCACGAGCCACCUUUUUCCUUAUACAGCAAGUGAGAUCAGCGAACUUCGGGNCACUCGAGAAGGGGGNCGCGUCAAUCAUCAUGCCCUACGACUGGNUACACACGUGNUCCAUGGUACAACAAGAGAAGCAAACCGUAAGGNGGAGCAAACUCAAAAAGUGCUUCAGUUCGGAUUGUGGGCUGCAACCCGCCCACAUGAAGUGGNAGUUGCUAGUAAUCGCGGAUCAGCAUGCCGCGGUGAAUACGUUCCCGGNUCUNGUACACACCGCCCGUCACACCAUGGGAGUNGGGAGCGCCCGAAGCCAGUGAGCUAACCGUAAGGAGGCAGCUGUCGAAGGUGAGACCAAUGACUGGGGUGAAGUCGUAACAAGGUAGCCGUAUCGGAAGGUGCGGCUGGAUCACCUCCU
rnacentral:rRNA from 1 species